rnacentral:rRNA from 1 species
AGAGUUUGAUCAUGGCUCAGAUUGAACGCUGGCGGCAUGCCUUACACAUGCAAGUCGAACGGCAGCGCGGGGCAACCUGGCGGCGAGUGGCGAACGGGUGAGUAAUAUAUCGGAACGUACCCUGGAGUGGGGGGAUAACGUAGCGAAAGUUACGCUAAUACCGCAUACGAUCUAAGGAUGAAAGUGGGGGAUUCGCAAGAACCUCAUGCUCCUGGAGCGGCCGAUAUCUGAUUAGCUAGUUGGUGGGGUAAAGGCCUACCAAGGCAUCGAUCAGUAGCUGGUCUGAGAGGACGACCAGCCACACUGGAACUGAGACACGGUCCAGACUCCUACGGGAGGCAGCAGUGGGGAAUUUUGGACAAUGGGCGAAAGCCUGAUCCAGCAAUGCCGCGUGAGUGAAGAAGGCCUUCGGGUUGUAAAGCUCUUUUGUCAGGGAAGAAACGGUGUGGGCUAAUAUCCUGCACUAAUGACGGUACCUGAAGAAUAAGCACCGGCUAACUACGUGCCAGCAGCCGCGGUAAUACGUAGGGUGCAAGCGUUAAUCGGAAUUACUGGGCGUAAAGCGUGCGCAGGCGGUUUUGUAAGUCUGUCGUGAAAUCCCCGGGCUCAACCUGGGAAUUGCGAUGGAGACUGCAAGGCUAGAAUCUGGCAGAGGGGGGUAGAAUUCCACGUGUAGCAGUGAAAUGCGUAGAGAUGUGGAGGAACACCGAUGGCGAAGGCAGCCCCCUGGGUCAAGAUUGACGCUCAUGCACGAAAGCGUGGGGAGCAAACAGGAUUAGAUACCCUAGUAGUCC